AUUUUCCAAGUAAAUGCUCAGAGCUGUUUCCACAGCGCCGCCACCAGGAACGACUUUGCCGCUCUCAAGAGUGCGUUUGACGACGCUUAAAGAAUCAUGCAUUGAACGCUCCAUUUCAUCUAAAGAGUAUUCAUUGGGGCCUCGCAGAACAAUUGAUGCAGACGAAUAAGCUUUGGUUCCUUUGACAAGAAUACAUUCAUCAUCCGAAAAUUUUUCUUGAACAACCUCUUCAGCCGAGCCCAAGUAGGAACUUUCAAAGGUUUCUUCACCCUCUAAAUUUGACAAUGAACUGAGUAAGGUAGCACCGGAAGCCUUGGCGAUACGUCUCAAAUCUUCCUUUUUGCAUCUACGAACAGCCAUUGCGCCAGCUUCAAUAAUGGAUUUCAAACAGAGAUCAUCAAUGCCCUUUGUGGUAAGAAUAACAUUGGCACCCGCAUUGAGAAUUUUUUUGACGCGUUCCAGCGUAAUCAUAACUUCUCGUUCACGGAUCUUUUCAAGUUGAUCGGGGUCAUCAAUCGUCACAUGCACACCUAACGCCAUUUUAGUUUUUUGCAAAUCCAUAUCCAAAACAGCAAUUUUAGCAUUCUGAACACGAGUUUUCAUAGCUUGACUGGCAAUGGUACAAUUUAAAGCAUAACCUUUAACCAGGACGGACUCUCGAGAACUUUUGCCAUGUGCCUUCAAAAUGUUGACAGCUUUAACAGGGUAACGGGUCUCACCCUUAGAAUUAGAAGUUUUGACGGAAAGCAUUGCGUCAACAGCCAUGGUUGAAAAAAAGUCUGAAUCAUUACCAAUAAUUUUUGAAGACAUACUGGUUUUGGCAACGUUAAUAAGACUCUCUUUUCCCAAACUAUCUACGCUGCAGCUCAAGACAUCUGUCAUAAAUUUUACGGCUUCACGGAUAGCAAGUCGAUAACCGGUUAUAAUAGUAGUGGGGUGAAUUUUGUUUUUGACAAGCUCAUUCGCACGUCUCAACAAUUCAGCCGCAAUAAUGACAACACUAGUAGUUCCAUCACCUACUUCUUUGUCUUGUUGUUGAGCUAAUUCAACCAGCACUUUACCAGCAGGAUGUUCAACAUCCAAUAAUGAUAAAAUGGUAGCACCAUCGUU